UACGAAGGGGGCUAGCGUUGCUCGGAAUUACUGGGCGUAAAGCGUGCGUAGGCGGUGAGUUAAGUCUGUCGUGAAAUCCCCGGGCUCAACCUGGGAAUGGCGAUGGAUACUGGCUCGCUAGAGUGUGAUAGAGGAUGGUGGAAUUCCCGGUGUAGCGGUGAAAUGCGUAGAGAUCGGGAGGAACACCUAUGGCGAAGGCAGCUCGCUGGGACGUUACUGACGCUGAGACGCGAAAGCGUGGGGAGCAAACAGG
rnacentral:rRNA from 1 species